rnacentral:rRNA from 1 species
CCGCGUGAGCGAAGAAGGCCUUCGGGUCGUAAAGCUCUGUUGUUAGGGAAGAACAAGUACGAGAGUAACUGCUCGUACCUUGACGGUACCUAACCAGAAAGCCACGGCUAACUACGUGCCAGCAGCCGCGGUAAUACGUAGGUGGCAAGCGUUGUCCGGAAUUAUUGGGCGUAAAGCGCGCGCAGGCGGUCCUUUAAGUCUGAUGUGAAAGCCCACGGCUCAACCGUGGAGGGUCAUUGGAAACUGGGGGACUUGAGUGCAGAAGAGGAGAGUGGAAUUCCACGUGUAGCGGUGAAAUGCGUAGAGAUGUGGAGGAACACCAGUGGCGAAGGCGACUCUCUGGUCUGUAACUGACGCUGAGGCGCGAAAGCGUGGGGAGCAAACAGGAUUAGAUACCCUGGUAGUCCACGCCGUAAACGAUGAGUGCUAAGUGUUAGAGGGUUUCCGCCCUUUAGUGCUGCGGCCAACGCAUUAAGCACUCCGCCUGGGGAGUACGGCCGCAAGGCUG